rnacentral:tRNA from 1 species
GAUGGCGUAGUUCAACGGUGGAAUAGGGGACUGUCUAUCCUCAGGUACGGGUUCGAUUCCCGUCGUCAUCGCCA